AGGGUUAUAGCUCAGUGGUAAAGUACUUGCCUAGCAUGCAGGAGUCCCUGGGUUCUAUCCCUAGGAACACAA
rfam:Ictidomys tridecemlineatus contig111153, whole genome shotgun sequence.